AGUCGACGGUGAACACGGAGCUUGCUCUGUGGGAUCAGUGGCGAACGGGUGAGUAACACGUGAGCAACCUGCCCCUGACUCUGGGAUAAGCGCUGGAAACGGCGUCUAAUACUGGAUACGAGUAGCGACCGCAUGGUCAGUUACUGGAAAGAUUUAUUGGUUGGGGAUGGGCUCGCGGCCUAUCAGCUUGUUGGUGAGGUAAUGGCUCACCAAGGCGUCGACGGGUAGCCGGCCUGAGAGGGUGACCGGCCACACUGGGACUGAGACACGGCCCAGACUCCUACGGGAGGCAGCAGUGGGGAAUAUUGCACAAUGGGCGCAAGCCUGAUGCAGCAACGCCGCGUGAGGGAUGACGGCCUUCGGGUUGUAAACCUCUUUUAGCAGGGAAGAAGCGAAAGUGACGGUACCUGCAGAAAAAGCGCCGGCUAACUACGUGCCAGCAGCCGCGGUAAUACGUAGGGCGCAAGCGUUAUCCGGAAUUAUUGGGCGUAAAGAGCUCGUAGGCGGUUUGUCGCGUCUGCUGUGAAAUCCGGAGGCUCAACCUCCGGCCUGCAGUGGGUACGGGCAGACUAGAGUGCGGUAGGGGAGAUUGGAAUUCCUGGUGUAGCGGUGGAAUGCGCAGAUAUCAGGAGGAACACCGAUGGCGAAGGCAGAUCUCUGGGCCGUAACUGACGCUGA
rnacentral:rRNA from 1 species